ACUCCUACGGGAGGCAGCAGUAGGGAAUAUUGGUCAAUGGGCGAGAGCCUGAACCAGCCAUGCCGCGUGCAGGAAGACGGCCUUCUGGGUUGUAAACUGCUUUUAUCAGGGAACAAAAAGGCCAUGGCGUGGCAAAUGCGUGUACCUGAAGAANAAUGGACCGGCUAACUCCGUGCCAGCAGCCGCGGUAAUACGGAGGGUCCAAGCGUUGUCCGGAUUUAUUGGGUUUAAAGGGUGCGUAGGCGGCCCUAUAAGUCAGUGGUGAAAUCCUUCAGCUCAACUGGAGAACUGCCAUUGAUACUGUAGGGGCUUGAGUACAGACGAGGUAGGCGGAAUUUAUGGUGUAGCGGUGAAAUGCAUAGAUACCAUAAAGAACACCUAUUGCGAAGGCAGCUUACUAGACUGUAACUGACGCUGAGGCACGAAAGCGUGGGGAGCGAACAGGAUUAGAUACCCUGGUAGGCUCUGCU
rnacentral:rRNA from 1 species